rfam:Capsicum annuum cultivar Zunla-1 chromosome 1, whole genome shotgun sequence
UUAAUUUGAUGCAACAUGGGGAAACUUACCAGGUCCAGACAUAGUAAGGAUUGACGUACUAAGAGCACUUUCUUGAUUCUAAGGGUGGUUGUGCAUGGCCGUUCUUAGUUAGUUGAGCGAUUUGUCUGGUUAAUUCCAUUAACGAAUGAGACCUCAGCGUGCUAACUAGCUCAAUAAUUCAGUCUCAGUUUUUCUUGACUAUAGUAUACAGAUAUCAGUUAUUCAUGUAUCAGUACUCAGUAUCUCAAUUUAAAGAUUACAUUUAGAAUAUGUUUUAUUCUUGGUU